GAUGAAAUGAAUAGUACGAUUGUAGGA
rnacentral:sRNA from 1 species